rnacentral:rRNA from 1 species
GACGGAGGAUGCAAGCGUUAUCCGGAAUUAUUGGGCGUAAAGCGUCCGCAGGUGGACAUACAAGUCUGCUGUCAAAGUGCAGAGCUUAACUCUGUAAAGGCGGUGGAAACUGUAGGUCUUGAGUAUGGUAGGGGUAGAGGGAAUUCCCGGUGUAACGGUGAAAUGCGUAGAUAUCGGGAAGAACACCAGUGGCGAAAGCGCUCUACUGGGCCAUAACUGACACUGAGGGACGAAAGCUAGGGGAGCGAAAGGG